UUUAUGUAUCCCCCUUCCUCUGAUGCUUAUCGAACAAUGGCGGCCUUGGCGACGGCCGACGGAUGGCGGGACUGGAUCCGGUCGACAGGUUCGCUGUCCCAACCAUGUACGGCGGUGUGUUCUGAGUGGCAACCCAGCCGACACUAGAUCUGGUUGAAGCGGACGGCAAGUGCAGAAUGGGAGGAGCCGUGGAUGUGUUCGCGCCUCUCCAACUGAAUCUGAACACGCUGUGCGAUAUGAGCAGCUUAUCGCCGCCGGACUCUGAACAGUCCACGAGCAAGGACGACCCGCAAGCUCCUGGUUGGACAUGGAGACAAAAGCUAUGUGAUGCAGGGUGCUUGUUGGACAGGCUCCUGCGCCAUGUUCGGGUAGAGUUUGUGCCCUUGAGAAGACAAUGAGGGGGUUAGCUGAGAAGAAGACUGACACUGUUGUUGGAUGUUAAUUGGUACGGUGAGAGCAAGAGCAAGGUUAACUUUGAAAAGACAAAGUGCAUACAGGGGAUAGUAUGUGGGUGCUCGUUAUGGCCUAACUUCGUUCGGUUAAACAUUGUGUUCGCUCACUAGCUGAAAAAAAAAGUUGUGCUAAAACUUUUUAUCAAAAAAAAGUUGUGCUAAACUGGUUUAUAAUUACUGAGUAAGCCAAAAAGGACCAACACAAGAUCAUGCCAGCGAUGAUUCGUCUACUCAGCUCGGAGGACAACAACUGAUACAUAAGCGAGCACAGGGCCAAGCCAUCGCAGUUCAAGGACGAGAAGUUAAAGUUAUGUGUGUUUGCUCGGGAAGCCGAAGAAGUUGAACACUCGAUCUUGCGAUGUGAGUGCCUGGCAGUGAUAAGGCUACUGAUUUACAAUGCGAGUUACUAGUUGUCCGUGCAAUUUGUACAAUUUGAUUUUCUCUUGUAAGCUAGGAUUUUCCUAAACCUGUAUACAUUUUACGUAAACAUGUGUUAGCGGGAAAAUAAACCAAUCAGUGGCAAUCGGUGUCGCGAGUGUAUUGCGACAAAUGACGAUUGUCGUCGA